AACGCGAAGAACCUUACCUGGGCUCGAAAUGUAGUGGAAUGGGGUGGAAACAUCCCCGUCUCGCAAGAGACUGCUAUAUAGGUGCUGCAUGGCUGUCGUCAGCUCGUGUCGUGAGAUGUUGGGUUAAGUCCCGCAACGAGCGCAACCCUUAUUACCUGUUGCUAACGCGUAAUGGCGAGGACUCGGGUGAAACUGCCUGGGAUAACCAGGAGGAAGGUGGGGAUGACGUCAAGUCCUCAUGGCCUUUAUGUCCAGGGCUACACACGUGCUACAAUGGUCGGUACAAACCGUCGCGAACCCGCGAGGGGGAGCUAAUCGCAAAAAAGCGCGCUCAGUUCGGAUUGCAGUCUGCAACUCGACUGCAUGAAGCCGGAAUCGCUAGUAAUGGCGCAUCAGAACGGCGCCGUGAAUACGUUCCCGGGCCUUGUACACACCGGAGUA
rnacentral:rRNA from 1 species